GAUCCACCUCCAUAAAUUUCCACCCUCUGUCACUCAUUCAUAAUGCCACGUCAUAGUAAAACAGGAAACUUUUACUCCAUGAUGGUGUGAAGGCUGUGUGGGGGAAUCUUGAAGAAAAAGAUUGUCACAAUAUGGCUACAGCUGUGAAAUUUUUAUUCCAGUCAGCAGGAAAGAAAAAAGAGAAGGAGAAGAAGAAGGACAUACUUCUUUCCAUAAACCACUUCCACUUACAAGUCAUUGGUUAUAACUUAAUCUUAUGAAUGUAACCGGCUAUAGUGGAGGCUGCUCAAGUGGGAAAUGUAAUUUUUAUUCCAGGCAGUCUUGUGCUUAGCUAAAUAUGGGGUGCUCUUUACUAUCAAAGAGAGGAAAAAAAGGUGUUAGCCCACCCAACUAGCAAUCUCAGCCACGGAUCAUCAUGAGAUUUAAAUGAGACAAUGCAGGUAGAGGGUUGAGCACAGUGUUGGGCACUCAGGAAGCACUCAAAAAACAUUGUCAUCGUCAUCAUCAUCAUCAUCAUCAACAUCAUCAUCACCAUCAUCAUGAGAAGAUGCUGAGAGAUGUUACAUGUCUUGCUCAAGGUAACCCAGUUGGAGGACAGUCUUGGCUUCAGCUCAUUUGUCUCUAGAUCC
rnacentral:lncRNA from 1 species